rnacentral:rRNA from 1 species
AGUUAUGAAAUGUAGGUGCGAUAAUACCGUGCUUAUUUGACAAAGGCUCCAAAGGAAGCCACGGCUAACUCUGUGCCAGCAGCCGCGGUAAUACAGAGGUGGCAAGCGUUGUUCGGAAUUAUUGGGCGUAAAGAGCACGUAGGUGGAUUUGUUAGUCAGAUGUGAAAGCCUUUCGUUCAACGGAAGAAUUGCAUCUGAAACUACAAACCUUGAGUAUAGGAGGGGAGAGUGGAACUUCUGGU